rnacentral:misc_RNA from 1 species
AAAUAAUCUCCCUCCUCCUCCUUUCAAGAAGCUCACUCCUCUCUUCCUCUCCUCCUCCUCCACCUGCCUAUGGCCGUAGUCCGCGAGCGCCGCCAACUCAACCUCCGCCUCCCUCUUCCCGAACUCUCCGAGCGCCGCCCUCGCUUUCCGUUGCCACUCCCUCCAAGUAUCACCACUUCUACCAACACCACCGCCUUCUCUAUGAUCUCUUGUAAUGAUCUCGAAAAGCUCCAAGUUUUAGGCCACGGUAAUGGUGGUACUGUCUAUAAAGUACGUCAUAAGAAGACUUCCCAAGUUUAUGCCCUUAAAGUUGUCCAUGCUGACACCGAUGAUUCCCUCGUCCGCCGUCAAGUCUUCCGUGAAAUGGAAAUCCUCCGGCGUACUGAUUCUCCUUAUAUCGUUCACUGCCAUGGAAUCUAUGAGAAACCCAAUGGUGAUAUAGCGAUUUUAAUGGAGUAUAUGGAUUUGGGUACGCUUGAUACGCUUCUACAAAAACAUGGUACUUUCUCGGAAGCUAAACUUGCUCAUGUAGCUCGUCAGGUUCUUAAUGGGCUAAACUACUUGCACAGCCAUAAAAUCAUCCAUCGAGACAUUAAACCAUCAAAUUUGUUGGUGAAAAAUGGGAUGGAAGUGAAGAUUGCAGAUUUUGGUGUAAGCAAAAUCAUGUACCGAACUCUAGAUGCUUGCAAUUCCUAUGUGGGUACUUGUGCUUAUAUGAGCCCUGAACGCUUCGAUCCUGACACUUAUGGAGGAAAUUAUAAUGGCUAUGCAGCUGAUAUUUGGAGUUUGGGUCUCACCUUGUUGGAGCUUUAUUUGGGUCAUUUCCCACUUCUCACACCAGGUCAGAGACCUGAUUGGGCGACUCUGAUGUGCGCUAUCUGCUUUGGCGACCCGCCUACCUUGCCGGAGGAUGCGUCGGAGGAGUUUCGGAACUUUGUCGAGUGUUGCUUACAGAAGGAAUCUAGUAAGAGGUGGACGGUCGAGCAGCUACUGUCACACCCAUUUCUUUGUAAAGAUCCGACAUCCGAUAAAUGAACCGGUCAUCGGAGUCCAAAACCCGAUUUUAUUCGCGGUUGAGUUUUGUAUAUAAUCUGCCGGAUUCGGAUUUUUCCUUUUUUUUUUGUUAAUUAAUUUUUUUUUCUUAUUUUGUAUAUUCUCUUAUUCUUCUGGAUCUCUUUGCAGCGCUGAAUCUGCUGAUAAGAAGAAGAGAUAAUCAAAUUUCCCUUUCUUCAAUUAUUUACUAAAUUCAC